rnacentral:rRNA from 1 species
AAAGGAAUUGACGGGGGCCCGCACAAGCGGUGGAGCAUGUGGUUUAAUUCGAAGCAACGCGAAGAACCUUACCAGGUCUUGACAUCCUCUGACCGCCUAAGAGAUUAGGCUUUCCCUUCGGGGACAGAGUGACAGGUGGUGCAUGGUUGUCGUCAGCUCGUGUCGUGAGAUGUUGGGUUAAGUCCCGUAACGAGCGCAACCCUUAAGAUUAGUUGCCAGCAUUCAGUUGGGCACUCUAAUUUGACUGCCGGUGACAAACCGGGGGAAGGUGGGGAUGACGUCAAAUCAUCAUGCCCCUUAUGACCUGGGCGACACACGUGCUACAAUGGAUGGAACAGAGGGCAGCGAGACGGUGACGUUUAGCGAAUCCCUUAAAACCAUUCUCAGUUCGGAUUGUAGGCUGCAAUUCGCCUGCAUGAAGCAGGAAUCGCUAGUAAUCGCGGAUCAGCAUGCCGCGGUGAAUCCGUUCCCGGGCCUUGUACACACCGCCCGU